rnacentral:rRNA from 1 species
GAUGAACGCUGGCGGCGUGCCUAAUACAUGCAAGUCGAGCGAACAGACGAGGAGCUUGCUCCUCUGACGUUAGCGGCGGACGGGUGAGUAACACGUGGAUAACCUACCUAUAAGACUGGGAUAACUUCGGGAAACCGGAGCUAAUACCGGAUAAUAUAUUGAACCGCAUGGUUCAAUAGUGAAAGACGGUUUUGCUGUCACUUAUAGAUGGAUCCGCGCCGCAUUAGCUAGUUGGUAAGGUAACGGCUUACCAAGGCAACGAUGCGUAGCCGACCUGAGAGGGUGAUCGGCCACACUGGAACUGAGACACGGUCCAGACUCCGACGGGAGGCAGCAGUAGGGAAUCUUCCGCAAUGGGCGAAAGCCUGACGGAGCAACGCCGCGUGAGUGAUGAAGGUCUUCGGAUCGUAAAACUCUGUUAUUAGGGAAGAACAAAUGUGUAAGUAACUAUGCACGUCUUGACGGUACCUAAUCAGAAAGCCACGGCUAACUACGUG